GACGAACGCUGGCGGCGUGCUUACACAUGCAAGUCGCACGGAAAGGCCCCCAUCUUGGUGGGGGUGCUCGAGUGGCGAAAGGGGGAGUAACACGUGGGGGAUCUGCCCUGUACUUCGGGAUAAGCUUGGGAAAAUGGGUCUAAUACCGGAUAGGACCCUGGUUUAGGGUUCCAUGGGGGAAAGAUUAUUGUUUUGGUGCAGGAUGAGCUCGCGGCCUAUCAGCUUGUUGGUGGGGUAAUGGCCUACCAAGGCGUCGACGGGUAGCCGGCCUGAGAGGGUGGACGGCCACAUUGGGACUGAGAUACGGCCCAGACUCCUACGGGAGGCAGCAGUGGGGAAUAUUGCACAAUGGGCGCAAGCCUGAUGCAGCGACGCCGCGUGGGGGAUGACGGCCUUCGGGUUGUAAACUCCUUUCGUUAGGGACGAAGCCACGCUUUUUGGGUGUGGUGACGGUACCUUUGUUAAGAAGCACCGGCUAACUACGUG
rnacentral:rRNA from 1 species